rnacentral:rRNA from 1 species
AUUGAACGCUGGCGGCAGGCCUAACACAUGCAAGUCGAACGAGUGGCGGACGGGUGAGUAAUGACUGGGAAACGGCCCGAUGGAGGGGGAUAACAACUGGAAACGGUAGCUAAUACCGCAUACCAGAGGUUAUGCCCAGAUGGGAUUAGCUAGGAGGUGGGGUAACGGCUCACCUAGCCGCCGAUCCCUAGCAGGUCUGAGAGGAUGACCAGCCACACUUGAACUGAGACACGGUCCAGACGCCUACGGGAGGCAGCAGUGGGGAAUAUUGCACAAUGUGCGCAAGCCUGAUGCAGCCAUGCCGCGUGUAUGAAGAAGGCCUUCGGGUUGUAAAGUACUUUCAGCGAGGAGGCGUUACUCGCAGAAGAAGCACCGGCUAACUCCGUGCCAGCAGCCGCGGUAAUUC